CCUACGGGGGGCAGCAGUGAGGAAUAUUGGUCAAUGGGAGAGAUCCUGAACCAGCCAAGCCGCGUGAGGGAAGACGGCCCUAUGGGUUGUAAACCUCUUUUGUCGGAGAACAAAACCCGGGACGUGUCCCGGACUGCGUUUAUCCGAAGAAAAAGCAUCGGCUAACCCCGUGCCAGCAGCCGCGGUAAUACGGUGGAUGCGACCGUUAUCCGGAUUUAUUGGGUUUAAAGGUUGCGUAGGCGGUCCGUUAAUCCAGCGGUAAAUUUGCGGGGCUCAACCCCGUCGAGCCGUUGAAACUGGCAGACUAGAGUGGGCGAGAGGUACGCGGAAUGCGCGGUGUAGCGGUGAAAUGCAUAGAUAUCGCGCAGAACACCGAUUGCGAAGGCAGCGUACCGGCGCCAGACUGACGCUGAGGCACGAAAGCGUGGGGAUCGAACAGGAUUAGAUACCCUAGUAGUC
rnacentral:rRNA from 1 species